rnacentral:rRNA from 1 species
AGUGAACGCUGGCGGUAUGCCUAACACAUGCAAGUCGAACGGCAGCACAGUAAGAGCUUGCUCUUACGGGUGGCGAGUGGCGGACGGGUGAGGAAUACAUCGGAAUCUACUUUUUCGUGGGGGAUAACGUAGGGAAACUUACGCUAAUACCGCAUACGACCUACGGGUGAAAGCAGUGGAUCUUCGCACCUUGCGCGAUUGAAUUAGCCGAUGUCGGAUUAGCUAGUUGGGGGGGUAAAGGCCCACCAAGGCGACGAUCCGUAGCCGGUCUGAGAGGAUGAUCAGCCACACUGGAACUGAGACACGGUCCAGACUCCUACGGGAGGCAGCAGUGGGGAAUAUUGGACAAUGGGCGCAAGCCUGAUCCAGCCAUACCGCGUGGGUGAAGAAGGCCUUCGGGUUGUAAAGCCCUUUUGUUGGGAAAGAAAAGCAGCAGGUUAAUACCACGCUGUUCUGACGGUACCCAAAGAAUAAGCACCGGCUAACUUCGUG